CAUCAGGAGCCUUGUCUCUGCAUCCCCGAAUAUAGAAUCACAUGAAUGCACAGUGAUUCGCGAGAGAACCUCAAUCGCAACCCCAUGACUAACAGUUGACAUGAGCCCUUUAAGCACAAGAGGUUGCACCCCUUCAAAUGUAGGCAGACUCCCACUGGAUGAUGCUAGUGAAUCGAUUCGUUGAAAUUCCCCAAUGUCACCACCAGUAUCAAGCUCAUCACGAGGCAUGCUUGAAAGGAGCACAUUUUCUGUUGUUCUCUCCCGGAAUGAUAAACGGUCAAUCACACGUGAGAAGAGCUCAAGCACUUGACAAUAAACAUGAACAAAAUCUGUGUGCAUCAUGGCAACGCAUCCCCAGAAGAGUUGUGGGUAGAGGAUAACCUUUUCUGGUUCCAUAUUCUCUACCAUUACUUGUAAUGUCAACAAAAUUUCCAUGAUAAAUCCCAAGACUGGAGGCACUGGAUUUCCUAAGCACCUGUGGAGGCAUCUAAGGAGAGAUACACAUGUGUCACUUGUGACACUAGGCCGCAAUGCACGGUAGAUCUGGUGUGAGCGGCAUGCAAGAUGUCUUGAUGUGCACUCCAUGGCCCAUUUGAGUGCCUCAGCACCCCAAGUUUCACGUAGAUCUCCUUGGAAGAAGAUAGCAUCAACCAUACUCUGAACAAGUGCUGACAGAAGUGCUGCACUAGGAAGCUCCAUUCUUGUAACUGUGGGGUCCUCAUUCUCCCACAUCAUGCUCCCUCUCUUCGACUGAACAUAUUUUAUCAGGCUUACAACCUGCUGCUUGUUCUCUCCAUCACUGUUUUCUACCUCAUACAGUUCCAAGUGCCGGCCUGCAAGUGAGUAUAAUAGAUUGACAAGCAAAUGCUGACAGUGCUCUAGCACAAUAUCUUCUGAACUAUCCAUUGAAACAAAUGUGACGUGAAAAAGCAGAGGCAAGUGUUCGCGAAAAUCUUCAUCAUUCUCGUAUGCAAUUUCUGCCAGUAGAAUCAACGCUAUAUCUGCAUGAGUUAAUGAAUGCUGUUGAUGCCCCUGCAAUGCUGACUGAAGUUCUUUCGCACUAACACCAUGCAUACCAACUCCAGGAUGUAAACCAUCUUCACCAGAGUUUGGAGUGUCAAUCAGGUAAUCUCCACUAUCCCGAGAAACAUGGCGGCUCCGCAAACUUCCUGUUGAACUUCUAACUCCGAAUAUAGAAUCACAUGAAUGCACAGUGAUUCGCGAGAGAACCUCAAUCGCAACCCCAUGACUAACAGUUGACAUGAGCCCUUUAAGCACAAGAGGUUGCACCCCUUCAAAUGUAGGCAGACUCCCACUGGAUGAUGCUAGUGAAUCGAUUCGUUGAAAUUCCCCAAUGUCACCACCAGUAUCAAGCUCAUCACGAGGCAUGCUUGAAAGGAGCACAUUUUCUGUUGUUCUCUCCCGGAAUGAUAAACGGUCAAUCACACGUGAGAAGAGCUCAAGCACUUGACAAUAAACAUGAACAAAAUCUGUGUGCAUCAUGGCAACGCAUCCCCAGAAGAGUUGUGGGUAGAGGAUAACCUUUUCUGGUUCCAUAUUCUCUACCAUUACUUGUAAUGUCAACAAAAUUUCCAUGAUAAAUCCCAAGACUGGAGGCACUGGAUUUCCUAAGCACCUGUGGAGGCAUCUAAGGAGAGAUACACAUGUGUCACUUGUGACACUAGGCCGCAAUGCACGGUAGAUCUGGUGUGAGCGGCAUGCAAGAUGUCUUGAUGUGCACUCCAUGGCCCAUUUGAGUGCCUCAGCACCCCAAGUUUCACGUAGAUCUCCUUGGAAGAAGAUAGCAUCAACCAUACUCUGAACAAGUGCUGACAGAAGUGCUGCACUAGGAAGCUCCAUUCUUGUAACUGUGGGGUCCUCAUUCUCCCACAUCAUGCUCCCUCUCUUCGACUGAACAUAUUUUAUCAGGCUUACAACCUGCUGCUUGUUCUCUCCAUCACUGUUUUCUACCUCAUACAGUUCCAAGUGCCGGCCUGCAAGUGAGUAUAAUAGAUUGACAAGCAAAUGCUGACAGUGCUCUAGCACAAUAUCUUCUGAACUAUCCAUUGAAACAAAUGUGACGUGAAAAAGCAGAGGCAAGUGUUCGCGAAAAUCUUCAUCAUUCUCGUAUGCAAUUUCUGCCAGUAGAAUCAACGCUAUAUCUGCAUGAGUUAAUGAAUGCUGUUGAUGCCCCUGCAAUGCUGACUGAAGUUCUUUCGCACUAACACCAUGCAUACCAACUCCAGGAUGUAAACCAUCUUCACCAGAGUUUGGAGUGUCAAUCAGGUAAUCUCCACUAUCCCGAGAAACAUGGCGGCUCCGCAAACUUCCUGUUGAACUUCUAACUCCCAUCAAGGGGCCUGACAUGUUCACCAGUGCUGGAAGGAGCUGCCCUGAGCGUCCUGUGGUC
rnacentral:lncRNA from 1 species